GAUGAAGAACGCAGCGAAAUGCGAUAAGUAGUGUGAAUUGCAGAAUUCAGUGAAUCAUCGAAUCUUUGAACGCACAUUGCGCCCCUUGGUAUUCCAUGGGGCAUGCCUGUUCGAGCGUCAUUUGUACCUUCAAGCUUUGCUUGGAGUUGGGUGUUUGUCUCGCCUUUGCGUGUAGACUCGCCUUAAAAUAAUUGGCAGCCGGCGUAUUGAUUUCGGAGCGCAGUACAUCUCGCGCUUUGCACUCAUAACGACAGCGUCCAAAAGUACAUUUUACACUCUUGACCUCGGAUCAGGUAGGGAUACCCGCUGAACUUAAGCAUAUCAAUAAGCGGAGGA
rnacentral:misc_RNA from 1 species